UGAAUACGAGAUGCUACGGCGUCGAAGCAGUGUAUGUCAGACUUCCAAGAAAAGCUCGCAAUGUCAUAAAUAAAGAAUGCCUGUACCAUAACCGACACAGGUGGGUAGGUAGAGUAUACUAAGGGGCGCGAGAUAACUCUCUCUAAGGAACUCGGCAAAAUAACUCCGUAACUUCGGGAGAAGGAGUGCCUUCUAUUAGAAGGUUGCAAUAACAAGAUCCAAGCAACUGUUUAUCAAAAACACAGGUCUCCGCUAAGUCGUAAGACGAUGUAUGGGGGCUGACGCCUGCCCAGUGCCAGAAGGUUAAAGAAGUUGGUUAGCUUUGGCGAAGCUGAUGACUGAAGCCCUGGUGAACGGCGGCCGUAACUAUAACGGUCCUAAGGUAGCGAAACUCCUUGUCGGGUAAGUUCCGACCCGCACGAAAGGCGUAAUGAUUUGGAUACUGUCUCGGAGAGGGACUCGGUGAAAUAGACUUGUCUGUGAAGAUGCGGACUACCUGCACCAGGACAGAAAGACCCUAUGAAGCUUUACUGUAACUUGAAAUUGAAAUUGGACUUUAUUUGCGCAGCAUAGGUGGAAGGCGUUGAGAUUACUCUUGCGGGAGUACUGGAGCCAUCAGUGAGAUACCACUCCUAUAAUGUUAGAUUUCUAACUUUGGAUCAUGAUCCGGUCAAAGAACAGUUUCAGGCGGGCAGUUUGACUGGGGCGGUCGCCUCCCAAAUGGUAACGGAGGCGUACAAAGGUUUCCUCUGAACGGGUAGAAAUCUUAUCUAGAGUGUAAAGGCAUAAGGAAGCUUGACUGUGAGACCUACAAGUCGAGCAGGGACGAAAGUCGGUCUUAGUGAUCUGACGGUGCUGAGUGGAAAGGCCGUCACUCAACGGAUAAAAGUUACUCUAGGAUAACAGGCUGAUCUCCCCCAAGAGUUCACAUCGACGGGGAGGUUUGGCACCUCGAUGUCGGCUCAUCGCAUCCUGGGGCGGUAGUACGUCCCAAGGGUUGGGCUGUUCGCCCAUGAAAGCGGUACGCGGGCUGGGUUCAGAACGUCGUGAGACAGUUCGGUCCAUAUCCGGUGUAGGCGUUAGAAUAUUGAGAGGAGCCUUCUUUAGUACGAGAGGACCGAGAAGGACAUACCUCUGGUGUACCAGUUAUCGUGCCAACGGUAAACGCUGGGUAGCUAUGUAUGGAGAGGAUAACCGCUGAAAGCAUCUAAGUGGGAAGCCCACCUUAAGAUGAGUAUUCUC
rnacentral:rRNA from 1 species